GCAAACAGAGCUAAGAUUAUAAUCAGCAGCGAUCCUUCGUUCUUCAAUCAAGAAAAGGCUGAUAUCAGCUUCCACCUUUCAGAAACCAUGAAGCUAGCUUAUGGAUUAAUCUUUCUGGGGUUCUUACAGUCUGUUGCAUGUCAGAUGAUUGAUCAACAGGGUAAGACCUUUAUACUGGGAUUUUUACCUUCAGCACAUAAAGUAACUUGAAAACUGAACUGCAUAUUCAGAUUAAGAAUUUUGACCAGAAGAUGUCACACAUUACUAGUGACGCCAAAAAAAAAACUGUGCAGUAGAAUAGACAUUUUUUUUCAAAGGGCUGUAGAAUAGACUCUUUCGAAAAUAUAAACACUUCACUGGAUUUUGGAUCCUUGCACCUGUCGUUGUCAAUUGUGUGAAUUAGCAAUGCCGAGAAAACAACCAUAAGAAGAGACGAACACAUAUCCUUUCUUUUGUGUGUGAAAUCACGACAUUUUCAUUGUAGUGCCUUGGUGCACAUUCACUUCAUGCAAUGGAAUAGUCUUUAAAAAUGUAGACACUUAUUUUGAGCUUCUGCAGCGGUAGAACAAGCUUAAGCAUGAGCUUCCCUUGAUUAUCCAGAGGGCAAAGAAUAAACAUCUUAAUCAGUUUUUCGGUGCUUAAUCAGUUUAUUGCUUGGCGUGAUCUUUUCAUGUUAUUUGUUUUACGAUUUUAUAUAUCCUUUCACUAGCUCUACGUCAGUUAGAGUCCAUAUUGCAAAUAAAACAUGCAAUAGAUGUUCUCUUUGAUUGAUUAUUUACAUUUUUAUUACUAAUAAAACUUGCCUUUCUCCAGUCCAGGUUCUGUCUGAAGUAAAGAUGAUGCUGAAUGACAGUCGCGGUGUGUUAGAAGAAUGGAAUGACCAUCUAGAUACUGCAUGUAGUG
rnacentral:lncRNA from 1 species